UGCAGCUGUGCAUUAAUCUUGAUCUCCAUUUCUGAUAAAACGGGCUCACAGUCACAGGUGUUCACAAGUCCAGAUCCUUCAAAGUGUGAGGUGAAGCUCCCUGUGGAGGUGCAGGUACCUCUGUCUGGACUUCAUUGGUGAGGGUUUGUGCUUGGACGCACAUUGCAUCUUCCUAUCAACAUGCAGGCUUUCAGGGGACUCUUCAUCUUCUCUCUGCUUGUCACUCUGGUAUCAACAGCAUACAGUAUCAACGGCACUGAUUUCAGUAUCAAUGGCACUCCGUAUCAACAGAGGAAGGCGCUCAGUGGAUUCCAAUGCCCAAGUUGCUUCUCUCUAUCAAGCAAAUGCGACAGUUCUAGUACAACAAUGCUCAGCUGUACUGUGUCUCAGCCCUACUGCUUUGAUAUGGAUGCAAAACAAGUGGCAGGAGGCCGUGCCAAGGUGAAGGGCUGUUCUGAUAAAAAUUUCUGUAAUCUACCAGCAAAUUACCAAAUUACAUUUACUGGUUUUCCUCCUGUUUAUGUUCAGAAAAUUAACUGCAGAUUAGCCAGCAUGGCCUCUCCAUCAUCUGGAGGAUCCCUCCUUCUGGCCAUCUCUGGUCUCUUCCUAGUCAAAGUUCUCUCGUGAUGUAUCCCUGCUUUGACUCAGCACUCAACUCCUCAUAUUUCCAGGCAUCCUUCUCUCAUCCGAAGAUGGCCUGUCAGAAAGAUAAAAUAUCUUCCCCUUUGUCUGAGCAAGGGAAUGAGAAUAAAA